UAGGGAAUCUUCGGCAAUGGGGGGAACCCUGACCGAGCAACGCCGCGUGAGUGAAGAAGGUUUUCGGAUCGUAAAGCUCUGUUGUUAAGGAAGAACGAGUGUGAGAAUGGAAAGUUCAUACUGUGACGGUACUUAACCAGAAAGGGACGGCUAACUACGUGCCAGCAGCCGCGGUAAUACGUAGGUCCCGAGCGUUGUCCGGAUUUAUUGGGCGUAAAGCGAGCGCAGGCGGUUAGAAAAGUCUGAAGUGAAAGGCAGUGGCUCAACCAUUGUAGGCUUUGGAAACUGUUUAACUUGAGUGCAGAAGGGGAGAGUGGAAUUCCAUGGGUAGCGGUGAAAUGCGUAGAUAUAUGGAGGAACACCGGUGGCGAAAGCGGCUCUCUGGUCUGUAACUGACGCUGAGGCUCGAAAGCGUGGGGAGCGAACAGG
rnacentral:rRNA from 1 species